rnacentral:rRNA from 14 species
GAGAUGUUGGGUUAAGUCCCGCAACGAGCGCAACCCCUAUCCUUAGUUACCAGCGGUUCGGCCGGGCACUCUAGGGAAACUGCCGGUGUUAAGCCGGAGGAAGGUGGGGAUGACGUCAAGUCCUCAUGGCCCUUACGGGUUGGGCUACACACGUGCUACAAUGGUAGUGACAAUGGGUUAAUCCCAAAAAGCUAUCUCAGUUCGGAUUGUCGUCUGCAACUCGACGGCAUGAAGUCGGAAUCGCUAGUAAUCGCGGAUCAGAAUGUCGCGGUGAAUACGUUCCCGGGCCUUGUACACACCGCCCGUCACACCAUGGGAGCGGGUUUUACCAGAAGUAGCUAGCCUAACCGUAAGGAGGGCGGUUACCACGGUAGGAUUCGUGACUGGGGUGAAGUCGUAACAAGGUAGCCGUAGGGGAACCUGCGGCUGGAUCACCUCCUU